rnacentral:lncRNA from 1 species
AAUAAUAAUAAAAUUUGUCACUAAUACAUUAAUAUUUUAUGACAAAAAAUUAUUUUAUCAUUGAAAAAUUAUUUGUGGUAAUAGACCAACAGAUUAUAGUAUUGAGCUUUGUAAUAGAAAAUAAAGUUUGCUAGGUAGUAGUCAGAUUUAAGAAUAUAGUAUAGUGGCAAAUACAGGAUAUAGUCGGAUAAUUGAUUAUUGAAAAUGACGUACACUAUUUUGUGAUGUUUGAAUUGAAAAGGAUUUUGGGAAGUUAAGGAAGAAAUCUGUGUCUAGGGGAUUGGCAGCGAGUCAUGCUCACCAUGAUUAGCAUACACUCCUAUUUCC